rnacentral:rRNA from 1 species
AGAGUUUGAUCCUGGCUCAGGAUGAACGCUGGCGGCGUGCCUAAUACAUGCAAGUCGAACGAAUCUUCUUCGGAAGAUGAGUGGCGAACGGGUGAGUAAUACAUAGGUAACCUGCCCCUGUGCGGGGGAUAACAGGAGGAAACUCCUGCUAAUACCGCAUAGCCAUGAGCACCGCAUGGAGCUCAUGCCAAAUAUCCUUUCGGGGAUAGCGCAGGGAUGGACCUAUGGCGCAUUAGCUGGUUGGCGGGGCAACGGCCCACCAAGGCAACGAUGCGUAGCCGGCCUGAGAGGGCGGACGGCCACAUUGGGACUGAGACACGGCCCAGACUCCUACGGGAGGCAGCAGUAGGGAAUUUUCGGCAAUGGGGGAAACCCUGACCGAGCAACGCCGCGUGAGCGAAGAAGGCCUUCGGGUCGUAAAGCUCUGUUGUAAAGGAAGAACGGCGCAUACAGGAAAUGGUAUGCGAGUGACGGUACUUUACCAGAAAGCCACGGCUAACUACGUGCCAGCAGCCGCGGUAAUACGUAGGUGGCGAGCGUUAUCCGGAAUCAUUGGGCGUAAAGAGGGAGCAGGCGGCCGCAAGGGUCUGUGGUGAAAGACCGAAGCUAAACUUCGGUAAGCCAUGGAAACCGGGCGGCUAGAGUGCGGAAGAGGAUCGUGGAAUUCCAUGUGUAGCGGUGAAAUGCGUAGAUAUAUGGAGGAACACCAGUGGCGAAGGCGACGGUCUGGGCCGCAACUGACGCUCAUUCCCGAAAGCGUGGGGAGCAAAUAGGAUUAGAUACCCUAGUAGUCCACGCCGUAAACGAUGGUCACUAAGUGUCGGGGGUCAAACCCCGGUGCUGCAGUCAACGCAGUAAGUGACCCGCCUGAGUAGUACGUUCGCAAGAAUGAAACUCAAAGGAAUUGACGGGGG